GCUUACGGCCAUACCAGCCUGGGUACGCCCGAUCUCGUCUGAUCUCGGAAGCUAAGCAGGGUCGGGUUGGUUAGUACUUGGAUGGGAGACCGCCUGGGAAUACCAGGUGCUGUAAGCA
rnacentral:rRNA from 1 species